AUAUAAACAAACAGACUUGUCAAAACAAAAUUGUAUUUUCUUUAUCAUUCCAAGAAAAAUGGAAAUUUAUGUAGGAAAUAUUCCACCUACAAUCAAAAUUGAGGAAUUGUCUUUCUUGUAUCAAUCAUUUGGUGCAAUUGUAUUUAUUGAUAUUAAAAACCGGUGCCAACCUCCUUUUGCCUUUAUCCUAUUUGAUAAUACCGGGUCUGCUUAUAACGCCGUCGCAUCUACAAAUGGUUGCAUGUAUCAAGGCUAUCAGUUUCAGGUAAAAUUGUUAACUCCUGAUGACAAUGCUAGUGACAUUAGGGAUAAAUCGGUGGAUGAGGAGCUAAAACAGCCUAAAAAAAGAAGAAAAAAAAUACUUCCUACGCCAGAAAAUGAUAAGACUGCAGCAUUGGAUGAGCCAUUAAGAAAAGGACAAAGUGGAGCUGACACUAAAUAUCUACGUUAUCUGGAACGAGGCAUUGCACCGAAAAUAAAAGCGGAAGAGAAUAAGCUCAUAACUUUAGGAGGCCCUAUAGAAAUUGCUAGAAAAAAAGCAGAACGCAAUUUUUUAUUUAAUAAUAGAACACUAAAAGUACUUAAGUAAUUAUAGUGUGAAGUAAGUAAACUUUUAAAACAUGCUCCGAUUAAUAAGCAGAGCCUAUUAAAUACAAAGCAUUAGCAUUGAAACUUUAUAGUUUAUUAACAUUAUUGCUACAUUUCGUUACAAAUCUGAUGAAAAGUUUUCAACUGAAUUUAAAGGAAAAUCUUUAUGUACUGGAAAUUUAUGCAAAGAUUGAACAUAUUUUGAUAUUUAAGCUUUGCUGCGUGAAUAUUAAUAAAUAUAAGUUAUUUCUAAAACUUAUUUAAAAAACAAAAA